rnacentral:rRNA from 1 species
AUUGAACGCUGGCGGCAUGCCUUACACAUGCAAGUCGAACGGUAACAGGUCUUCGGAUGCUGACGAGUGGCGAACGGGUGAGUAGUGCAUCGGAACGUGCCCAGUAGUGGGGGAUAGCCCGGCGAAAGCCGGAUUAAUACCGCAUACGACCUGAGGGUGAAAGGGGGGGAUCGCAAGACCUCUCGCUAUUGGAGCGGCCGAUGUCAGAUUAGCUAGUUGGUGGGGUAAAGGCCUACCAAGGCAACGAUCCGUAGUUGGUCUGAGAGGACGACCAGCCACACUGGGACUGAGACACGGCCCAGACUCCUACGGGAGGCAGCAGUGGGGAAUUUUGGACAAUGGGCGCAAGCCUGAUCCAGCAAUGCCGCGUGCAGGAAGAAGGCCUUCGGGUUGUAAACUGCUUUUGUCAGGGAAGAAAUCUUCUGGGUUAAUACCUCGGGAGGAUGACGGUACCUGAAGAAUAAGCACCGGCUAACUACGUGCCAGCCGCCGCCGUAAAAC